GAAAGAUGAAUCAAAGAAGGUAAUAAUCCUGUAGUCGAAAAUGUUGUCUCUCUUGAGUGGAUCCUGAGUACGACGGAGCACGUGAAAUUCCGUUGGAAUCUGGGAGGACCAUCUCCUAAGGCUAAAUACUCUCUAGUGACCGAUAGUGAACCAGUACCGUGAGGGAAAGGUGAAAAGCACCCCGGAAGGGGAGUGAAAUAGAACCUGAAACCGUGUGCUUACAAGUAGUCAGAGCCCGUUAAUGGGUGAUGGCGUGCCUUUUGUAGAAUGAACCGGCGAGUUACGAUUUGAUGCAAGGUUAAGCAGUAAAUGUGGAGCCGUAGCGAAAGCGAGUCUGAAUAGGGCGUUUAGUAUUUGGUCGUAGACCCGAAACCAGGUGAUCUACCCUUGGUCAGGUUGAAGUUCAGGUAACACUGAAUGGAGGACCGAACCGACUUACGUUGAAAAGUGAGCGGAUGAACUGAGGGUAGCGGAGAAAUUCCAAUCGAACCUGGAGAUAGCUGGUUCUCUCCGAAAUAGCUUUA
rnacentral:rRNA from 2 species